CAUCGACACUCCUACGGGAGGCAGCAGUGGGGAAUAUUGCACAAUGGGCGCAAGCCUGAUGCAGCCAUGCCGCGUGUAUGAAGAAGGCCUUCGGGUUGUAAAGGUACUUUCAGCAGUGAGGAAGGUGGAGUCGUUAAUAGCGGCCUCAUUUGACGUUAGCUGCAGAAGAAGCACCGGCUAACUCCGUGCCAGCAGCCGCGGUAAUACGGAGGGUGCGAGCGUUAAUCGGAAUUACUGGGCGUAAAGCGCAUGCAGGUGGUUUGUUAAGUCAGAUGUGAAAGCCCGGGGCUCAACCUCGGAAUUGCAUUUGAAACUGGCAGACUAGAGUACUGUAGAGGGGGUAGAAUUUCAGGUGUAGCGGUGAAAAUGCGUAGAGAUCUGAAGGAAUACCGGUGGCGAAGGCGGCCCCCUGGACAGAUACUGACACUCAGAUGCGAAAGCGUGGGGAGCAAACAGGAUUAGAUACCCUGGUAG
rnacentral:rRNA from 1 species